GACGAACGCUGGCGGCGUGCUUAACACAUGCAAGUCGAACGAAGAGCGAUGGAAGCUUGCUUCUAUCAAUCUUAGUGGCGAACGUGUGAGUAACGCGUAAUCAACCCGCCCUUCAGAGGGGGACAACAGUUGGAAACGACUGCUAAUACCGCAUACGAUCUAACCUCGGCAUCGAGGAUAGAUGAAAGGUGGCCUCUACAUGUAAGCUAUCACUGAAGGAGGGGAUUGCGUCUGAUUAGCUAGUUGGAGGGGUAACGGCCCACCAAGGCGAUGAUCAGUAGCCGGUCUGAGAGGAUGAACGGCCACAUUGGGACUGAGACACGGCCCAGACUCCUACGGGAGGCAGCAGUGGGGAAUCUUCCGCAAUGGACGAAAGUCUGACGGAGCAACGCCGCGUGAGUGAUGACGGCCUUCGGGUUGUAAAGCUCUGUUAAUCGGGACGAAAGGCCUUCUUGCGAAUAGUGAGAAGGAUUGACGGUACCGGAAUAGAAAGCCACGGCUAACUACGUG
rnacentral:rRNA from 1 species